rnacentral:sRNA from 1 species
UUGCAAGCUGAAUAGCAGCUGCUACCAUACAAAGUGCAGGGGGGCGCAAAGCUGGAAAUAGCCGAACUUCAUUAAUUGCAAGUUGACUAGCAGAAUACAUGAAGUACAGCAAGGAGACUUAGUCAUAUGGGCUGCAUAGCCAAUAGGGCGCAUAAUUAAGUUAGAUUUAAGUAGAUUUAAAUUUGAAUUUUAGGCGCAAGCGCCGUCAGAUAUGUUCGCUGCACAUAUACAUAUAUGUGCCGAAAAUAAACUUUUGUAUUGUAGCCGAGA